rnacentral:rRNA from 1 species
AUUGAACGCUGGCGGAAUGCUUUACACAUGCAAGUCGAACGGCAGCACGGACUUCGGUCUGGUGGCGAGUGGCGAACGGGUGAGUAAUGUAUCGGAACGUGCCCAGUCGUGGGGGAUAACGUAGUGAAAAUUACGCUAAUACCGCAUACGAUCUAUGGAUGAAAGCGGGGGAUCGCAGGACCUCGCGCGCUUGGAGCGGCCGAUAUCAGAGUAGGUAGUUGGUGGGGUAAAGGCCCACCAAGCCAACGAUCUGUAGCUGGUCUGAGAGGACGACCAGCCACACUGGAACUGAGACACGGUCCAGACUCCUACGGGAGGCAGCAGUGGGGAAUUUUGGACAAUGGGCGAAAGCCUGAUCCAGCCAUUCCGCGUGCAGGAUGAAGGCCCUCGGGUUGUAAACUGCUUUUGUACAGAACGAAAAGGUUUCUACUAAUACUAGGAGCUCAUGACGGUACUGUAAGAAUAAGCACCGGCUAACUACGUGCCAGCAGCCGCCGUAA